rnacentral:ribozyme from 2 species
AAAACAAACAAACACAGAAACAAAGAGAGAAACAGAGAGAGGGAGAGGAAAAAGAGAGCCGCUCGGCAUGCAACACGGCAUGUCAUUUAUACCAUAUGAUUUAUUUUCAUAACCUAAUUAUUUUUGUUU